GAUGAAGAACGUAGCGAAAUGCGAUAAGUAAUGCGAAUUGCAGAAUUCAGUGAGUCAUCGAAUCUUUGAACGCACAUUGCGCCCUUUGGUAUUCCGCAGGGCAUGCCCGUUCGAGCGUCAUUUCAACCCUCAAGCUCUGCUUGGUGUUGGGCCCUGCCCGCUGCGGCCGGCCCUAAAGACAGUGGCGGUGCCGCCUGGCCCUGAGCGUAGUACAUCUCUCGCUCCAGUGCCCGGUGGUAGCCUGCCAGAACCCCAACUCUCGUGGUUGACCUCGGAUCAGGUAGGGAUACCCGCUGAACUUAAGCAUAUCAAUAAGCGGAGGA
rnacentral:misc_RNA from 1 species